rnacentral:misc_RNA from 1 species
GAUGAAGAACGUAGCGAGAUGCGAUACUUGGUGUGAAUUGCAGAAUCCCGUGAACCAUCGAGUCUUUGAACGCAAGUUGCGCCCGAAGCCAUUAGGCCGAGGGCACGCCUGCCUGGGCGUCACACGUCGUUGCCCCCCCAUCUACUCCUUCGGGAUUGCGGGGGGCGGAUGAUGGCCUCUCGUGCGCCUCGUCGCGCGGUUGGCCUAAAUGCCAAGUCCUCGGCGACGCACGCCACGACAAUCGGUGGUUGCGAAACCUCGGUUGCCUGUCGUGUGCGGUCGUCGCGCAUCGAGGGCUCGAAAAAAUUGCCGGGCUUCGGCUCGACUUUCAACGCGACCCCAGGUCAGGCGGGGUUACCCGCUGAAUUUAAGCAUAUCAAUAAGCGGAGGA